CCUACGGGUGGCAGCAGUGGGGGAUAUUGCACAAUGGGGGAAACCCUGAUGCAGCGACGCCGCGUGGGUGAAGAAGUAUUUCGGUAUGUAAAGCCCUAUCAGCAGGGAAGAAAGAAGACGGUACCUACCUACGAAGCCCCGGCUAACUACGUGCCGGCAGCCGCGGUAAUACGUAGGGAGCGAGCGUUGUCCGGAUUCACUGGGUGUAAAGGGAGCGUAGACGGCCGUGCACGCCAGGAGUGAAAUCCCGGGGCCCAACCCCGGGACUGCUCUUGGAACUGUGCGGCUAGAGUGCGGGAGGGGCAGGCGGAAUUCCGGGUGUAGGAGUGAAAUGCGUAGAUAUCAGGAGGAACACCGGCGGCGAAGGCGGCCUGCUGGACCGCGACUGACGUUGAGGAUCGAAAGCGUGGGGAGCGAACAGGAUUAGAUACCCGUGUAGUC
rnacentral:rRNA from 1 species